GACGAACGCUGGCGGCGUGCUUAACACAUGCAAGUCGAGCGGAAAGGCCCUUCGGGGUACUCGAGCGGCGAACGGGUGAGUAACACGUGAGUAACCUGCCCCAGACUUUGGGAUAACCCUCGGAAACGGGGGCUAAUACCGGAUACGACACAGCUUCGCAUGGGGUCUGUGUGGAAAGUUUUUCGGUUUGGGAUGGGCUCGCGGCCUAUCAGCUUGUUGGUGGGGUGAUGGCCUACCAAGGCGACGACGGGUAGCCGGCCUGAGAGGGCGACCGGCCACACUAGGACUGAGACACGGCCCAGACUCCUACGGGAGGCAGCAGUGGGGAAUAUUACACAAUGGGCGGAAGCCUGAUGCAGCGACGCCGCGUGAGGGAUGACGGCCUUCGGGUUGAAAACCUCUUUCAGCAGGGACGAAGCGUAAGUGACGGUACCUGCAGAAGAAGCGCCGGCCAACUACGUG
rnacentral:rRNA from 1 species